AGAGUUUGAUCAUGGCUCAGAAUCAACGCUGGCGGCGCGCUUAACACAUGCAAGUCGCACGAGAAAGCAGGAGCAAUCUUGUGAGUACAGUGGCGUACGGGUGAGUAACACGUGGAUCAUCUACCUUCUAGUGGGGCAUACCUCUGGGAAACCGGAGAUAAUUCCGCAUAAGCUCGUGAGAGGAAAGCAGCAAUGCGCUGGAAGAGGAGUCCGCGGCUGAUUAGCUAGAUGGCGGGGUAACGGCCCACCAUGGCGAAGAUCGGUAGCCGGCCUGAGAGGGCACACGGCCACACUGGCACUGAAACACGGGCCAGACUCCUACGGGAGGCAGCAGUGGGGAAUCUUGCACAAUGGAGGCAACUCUGAUGCAGCGACGCCGCGUGAGCGAUGAAGCCCUUCGGGGUGUAAAGCUCUUUCGACGGGAGAGAUGAUGACGGUACCCGGAGAAGAAGCUGCGGCUAACUACGUGCCAGCAGCCGCGGUAAUACGUAGGCAGCGAGCGUUGUUCGGAAUUACCGGGCGUAAAGAGUGUGUAGGCGGUGUUCCAAGUCUGGUGUGAAAUCUCCCGGCUUAACUGGGAGGGUGCGCCGGAAACUGGAAUGCUUCGAGGGUGGGAGAGGUAAGCGGAAUUCCUGGUGUAGCGGUGAAAUGCGUAGAUAUCAGGAGGAACACCUGUGGUGUAGACAGCUUACUGGACCACUUCUGACGCUGAGACACGAAAGCGUGGGUAGCAAACAGGAUUAGAUACCCUGGUAGUCCACGCCCUAAACCAUGCAUACUUGGUGUGAGCGAUUCAUUUCGUUCGUGCCGGAGCUAACGCGUUAAGUAUGCCGCCUGGGGAGUACGGUCGCAAGGCUGAACUCAAAGGAAUUGACGGGGCCCGCACAAGCGGUGGAGCAUGUGGUUCAAUUCGACGCAACGCGAAGAACCUUACCUGGGC
rnacentral:rRNA from 1 species